rnacentral:rRNA from 1 species
UACGUAGGGUGCGAGCGUUAAUCGGAAUUACUGGGCGUAAAGCGUGCGUAGGCGGUUCGUUAAGUUCGUUGUGAAAGCCCCGGGCUCAACCUGGGAACUGCAAUGGAAACUGGCGGGCUUGAGUGUGGCAGAGGGGGGUGGAAUUCCGCGUGUAGCAGUGAAAUGCGUAGAGAUGCGGAGGAACACCGAUGGCGAAGGCAGCCCCCCUGGGCCAACACUGACGCUCAGGCACGAAAGCGUGGGGAGCAAACAGG